UGCAACAGUAGUGUAUGAGCCAGGUACAGUCGGGAGAGGAAUGAAGGGUUUUCAACACUGAGUGGAUCAAGGAGUAUUACAUGCAAGAGGCUAUAUUUCACUGAAUGUUGAAGUAUGAGUAAAAAGAGUCGGAUGAAUCAACUAAAAAUAGGACCAGAACAGGAUGGGAUCUUUCAUUCUUCAGAGCUUCUAAACUUAGUUCUGCUCAGGCAUCUCCCAGUGGCUCCCACCAGCUCUCUCAUUUGUAACUGCAGAGACAUUGAAGAGUAUUUUCAUCUCAGAAGAGAAAGUAAGUGAUGGGAUAGACUUUAAUUUCCAAAGACCUGGUUGCUGGCUCCAGUAAGUGUCCUAGAAAAUAAUGAAAUGUGAAAUGUUACGCACAAUAUGAGUGAAAUGAUACAGAGGAAUCUGAAGAAGGGGAAUUCUUGGGAUACAUCUCUAGUGAAGGUCUUUGUGGGUUUUUUAUGAUGUGGGCUGAGAUCCAGUAAGGAGCUGGAAGCCAGAUAAUGGAACUUAGUUAGCAGACUAUUUAGAGUAGUUGACAUAAGAAUAACAGUGCAUUUGUGAUGAAAAUGUAAAGAAAGAAUAUAAGAGCUGCUAUAAAAGAAUUCACAAUCUAUUAUCUAAGUCCUAUUAACUUUAUUAUAGCUAGUAAUAUACACCUUUGAAUAAUUGCUAUGAGCAUGACAUUGUAGAAUGUGCUUUGCACACAUGAUCUCAUUGUAUCAAUUUUACAGAUGAGGACACAGUCUCAGUGACUAAUAGUAGUUAUAGUGUUAAUAUUAACUAAUAUUUACUGAACAUAGCAUGUUUCAAGUGCUUUUACAGACAUUUGCUUAUUUAAUCCUCACCGAAAACCUAUGUAUUAGUUACUAUUGUCUUUUUAUACUUAUUUACUCAUUAGGAAACAGAAGCACAGAGAAAUUAAGGUUCCUCCCAAGAUUGAGCAGAUAAUCAAGGCUGCACCCAAUAUUAAGUUUCAGAUUAUGCUUGUUAAUUUUUUCCCUCCAAAGUCUUAACUCAUGAGUUAAGUCUUAACUCAUGCUUUAUAUUUUUACAAUAAACAAUGUUGAACUGGUAAUU